AUUGAACGCUGGCGGCAGGCCUAACACAUGCAAGUCGAGCGAGCGGCGGACGGGUGAGUAAUGUCUGGGAAACUGCCUGAUGGGGGGGGAGAACUACUGGAAACGGUAGCUAAUACCGCAUACCAUCAGAUGUGACAAGGUGGGAUUAGCUGGUGGGUGGGGGAACGGCUAACCUAGGCGACGAUCCCUAGCUGGUCAGGGAGGAUGAUCAGACACACUGGAACUGAGACACGGUCCAGACUCCUACGGGAGGCAGCAGUGGGGAAUAUUGGACAAUGGGCGAAAGCCUGAUGCAGCCAUGCCGCGUGUGUGAAGAAGGCCUUCGGGUUGUAAAGCACUUUCAGUGGGGAGGCGUUACCCGCAGAAUAAGCACCGGCUAACUCCGUGCCAGCAGCCGCGGUAAUAC
rnacentral:rRNA from 1 species